rnacentral:rRNA from 1 species
GGGCUUGACAUCCCACGAACCUGCCUGAAAGGGCGGGGUGCCCGCAAGGGAGCGUGGAGACAGGUGGUGCAUGGCUGUCGUCAGCUCGUGUCGUGAGAUGUUGGGUUAAGUCCCGCAACGAGCGCAACCCUCACCCCUAGUUGCCACCGGGUAAUGCCGAGCACUCGAGGGGAACUGCCAGCGUCAAGCUGGAGGAAGGCGGGGAUGACGUCAAGUCAUCAUGCCCCUUACGUCCUGGGCUACACACGUGCUACAAUGGCCGGUACAAAGGGAUGCGAGACCGCGAGGUGGAGCCAAUCCCAAAAAGCUGGUCUAAGUUCGGAUUGCAGUCUGCAACUCGACUGCAUGAAGUAGGAAUCGCUAGUAAUCGCGCAUCAGCACGGCGCGGUGAAUACGUUCCCGGGCCUUGUACACACCGCCCGUCACACCACGAAAGCUGGCUGUACUCGAAGUCGCUGAG